rnacentral:rRNA from 1 species
UUUCCUUCGGGACAGAGGAGACAGGUGGUGCAUGGUUGUCGUCAGCUCGUGUCGUGAGAUGUUGGGUUAAGUCCCGCAACGAGCGCAACCCUUGAUCUUAGUUGCCAGCACGUGAAGGUGGGCACUCUAAGGUGACUGCCGGUGACAAACCGGAGGAAGGUGGGGAUGACGUCAAAUCAUCAUGCCCCUUAUGACCUGGGCUACACACGUACUACAAUGGCUGGUACAACGGGAAGCGAAGCC